rnacentral:rRNA from 1 species
AAAUAGAUACCCUGGUAGUCCACGCCGUAAACGAUGUCGACUUGGAGGUUGUACCCUUGAGGCGUGGCUUCCGGAGCUAACGCGUUAAGUCGACCGCCUGGGGAGUACGGCCGCAAGGUUAAAACUCAAAUGAAUUGACGGGGGCCCGCACAAGCGGUGGAGCAUGUGGUUUAAUUCGAUGCAACGCGAAGAACCUUACCUACUCUUGACAUCCACGGAAUUUAGCAGAGAUGCUUUAGUGCCUUCGGGAACCGUGAGACAGGUGCUGCAUGGCUGUCGUCAGCUCGUGUUGUGAAAUGUUGGGUUAAGUCCCGCAACGAGCGCAACCCUUAUCCUUUGUUGCCAGCGAUUCGGUCGGGAACUCAAAGGAGACUGCCAGUGAUAAACUGGAGGAAGUGGGGAUGACGUCAAGUCAUCAUGGCCCUUACGAGUAGGGCUACACACGUGCUACAAUGGCAUAUACAAAGAGAAGCGACCUCGCGAGAGCAAGCGGACCUCAUAAAGUAUGUCGUAGUCCGGAUUGGAGUCUGCAAC